CUUGUACACACCGCCCGUCACACCAUGGGAGCGGGAUGUACCAGAAGUAGGUAGGCUAACCGCAAGGGGGCCGCUUACCACGGUGCGUCUCGUGACUGGGGUG
rnacentral:rRNA from 1 species